AUGGCGACAUCACAUCGAAACACCGGAUCCCGUACAAUAACCUAAGUUAAGCAAUAUCGAGCCUGGUUAUUACCUUGAUGGGUGUCUACUUGGGAAUACCAGGUGCUGUAAG